GACGAACGCUGGCGGCGUGCUUAUCACAUGCAAGUCGAACGGAAAGGCCCUGCUUGCAGGGUACUCGAGUGGCGAACGGGUGAGUAACACGUGGGUGAUCUGCCCAGCACUUCGGGAUAAGCCUGGGAAACUGGGUCUAAUACCGGAUAGGAGCCAUUUUUAGUGUGAUGGUUGGAAAGUUUUUUCGGUGUAGGAUGAGCCCGCGGCCUAUCAGCUUGUUGGUGGGGUAAUGGCCUACCAAGGCGGCGAAGGGUAGCCGGCCUGAGAGGGUGGACGGCCACAUUGAGACUGAGGUGCGGCCCAGACACCUACGGGAGGCAGCAGUGGGGAAUAUUGCACAAUGGGCGCAAGGCUGAUGCAGCGACGCAGCGGGGGGGAUGACGGCCUUCGGGUGGUAAACUACAUGCGCUAGUGACGAAGCUUUUUGUGACGGUACCUAGAUAAGAAGCACCGGCUAACUACGUG
rnacentral:rRNA from 1 species